GAAAUCAACAACCCAACUGUAAGGAGAAAGACGGCGAUCAGUUGUUAAAAUGAAAAGGUAAGCUGUGUUGAAAUUGUGAUGGAAGGAAAAAUUGGAGGGAGAAAUGGCGGUAUAUAACACAGGUGAUAGAGGCUAACAACAAAGCUAACACUUUAACACCUCCUAACCCUCUGAAAUGGCUCUGAUGAUAUCAAAAUUCUAAACCCCAAAAUUACAGAAAGAUCAACACUUUCAAAAAAGAAAAAAAAAUUCAAAAAAAAAAAAAGCUUAAAAAAGGAAAAUCUAAACAAAACAGAGCUUCCUAGAGAAGGGCUAGGCGCAACCAUAACUCUCUUCAGACCUGAUCUUAUAUAAACGUCAAAUUACUUUUUUUUCUUCUUCUCUUUCUUCUCUUUUCUUUUUUCCUAUCUUUUUUGAGCCGGGCUUGAGACCGGCCCAUUAAGACGUAAGCCCAUUUCAUCCUUCAUUUCUGAUAUUUUUUAUGGGCUGAUCAUACAUAAAUGGCAAAUCUUUAUUUAAUUUAAUAAAAUAGCAAAAUCCAAAACAGCCAAUGUAAAAAAAUAUAUAUAUAUUAAUAAUAAUAAUCCUAAAUACAAUUGUUCAAUAAACCACAAAUACUCUAUAAUUAAAAUCGAACUCCCAACACACAAUUAACACCUAUCAACAUCAAACUUCCAUUAAUUGGAGCUUCCACCUCGUCCCCUUCAAACCUUUCAAACUCUUCAUAUUUGGAUUUUCUUCUUAUCGGCUUAUCUGAUCGAAGACUUUGAAAUUUUCAUCUUGCUUGCUCCUUCGACUAGAAACUCACGUGUCGAACAACCUACUAAAAACUCCAAGAAGAACCACGACUAUAAAACAGAACACCCACGACGAAACUCAUAGUGAAACUCGCUGGGAACGCCACUCAAUCCUUCUAUCCUCCUGUCUGUGGCUAAAUUCGUGAAUGUCGACUAAACCUGACUCCAACAAACUCUGAAACGUCAAAACCCACUGCAAAUCCACGAUUAAUGUCACAAAGCUUUCGAAACGAAUGCUAGAGCCGUCGUAAACAGCCCCAAAAUUGUCAACUUCUAUCUGUCGACCAACGUCUCUCUUCCUGUUGGAACGCCACCGCACUCUUCUCUAUCAAUCUUUUUUGCUAGAAAAAACUUUCAUUCUACUGUGGUUUUUAGCUUUCGGCUGCCCCCUCUUCCUAUUCGUCCAACUUUUCUUUUCUCUAAUUUAAAAGACUCACGGAAGAAGAUUCAAUUAAUUGCAAAAAUACCAUUGAGACAUAAUUACAAUUUCACCGUCAACAUAAAACCCAUUUUAAAACAAAAAGUUUUGAAUCUUUCAGAUACUUUUGAAAUCUUUUAUGUUUUAACGUUUUUCAAUUUAUAUGUCUUCAAUAUUGGUGAUUUGUUAAAAUUGAGCUAUCCUUAGUGAUCAACUUACAAUAUAUAAUGCUUAAUGAAUGGAUAGAAAAAUGAAGAGGAAAAAAAAUAUUUAAGGUCGUUUAAGGAAUUGUAAUAAUUAUUGUUAUUAUUAAUAAAUCGUUUAAAAUAUAACAACCUCAUAUAUAUAUUUUUUAUUAUUAUAGGGAGGUUGCUGCAAUAUUGUCCAACAACAAAAUAACAUAUUUAGUUAAGAUUUACUAAAUUUAAAUGUUGUUUGUAAAAUACGGUGUCUUUAUGUUAUUUUCAAUAUCUUGUCUCAUUUUUUUGAGUUAUUCAAAUACAUAUAUGAUUAUUCUAUACCGAGUGGAAUUAUAUUAUAUCUUGAUGACCAAAAUUUUUGUUUAUAACAUUCAUACUCCACGUAUAAAUGAGAUUCAUAUAAAAACUAUUGAUUAUGUGAGAGAAAUGUUAUUUGAAUUAAUAUGAUUCGAAUUAAAUUAAAUAUGAUAUUUAGAGUUAUUAAUUCUUUAAUUGUUAAUUAAAUUUAAUAUAUAACUUAAAAUUAAAAGUAAAAUGAGAACAUGGUGGAGAGGAGUUGUAAAUCAUUUGUAAUUGCUUCUCCAUCUCUCUCCUCUCACGUAACAAAAGGGUUUUGCUACACAGAGAAGGAUUAAGGAUCCAAUCAUGAAUUUGUUCUCUACAAAAAUUCUCUUAUAACACCCUUUUUCUUUUUAUUUAAUAAGGAUUUCACACCUCCAACUUGUUAUUUAUUUGAAAAACCAUGCAGUUUCUAGCAUCGAAGGUCAUUGCUUCAAAUUAAGAAUGCUUAACUAUGAAGUUAUUAACAUUGGACCCACAAUGCAACUUGUUGAUAUAACUAAUAACGAUUUUUAGUUUUUUUUAAGUCUUUCUUAAACAUACUUUCAUAUAUCCCCAAGAUUCUUCUCACUCAAAUUUGAUGUCAGUCUAUUCAUAUCUCACAUCCUAAAUUUGAGGCGUGUUACAUCAACUUCUGCUUGGUUUGUCCUCGAAUCACAUUUUGCUAAGAGAGGUUCUGUUCUAAUACUAUUUGUAACGAACUCGAUAAUCUAAGACUAUUGAUAGGGUCAUUACCUUAUUAAGAAAUUCAUGAAUGGUAAAUGGUUAUAGUGAGAUGAAAUAUAUCGAUGUACUUGUAUAUUCGAGACAUAAAAAUUGAAUUUUGUAGCUAACGAAACGUUCAAUUAUCCAUUUUAUGUCAAUAGGUUAAUGAAGUUUAUAAAAUAAUGUCUAGGUCAAUGAUUUAUUAUACAAAAUUACAACUCCAAUGAUGUAUUAGAUAUACAAUAGAAAGUUUAAGGCCUUUGCUUGGACACCAAUUUUAAUAUUCAAUUUCCAUUAGACACUUGGAAAGUUUAAUCAAGUUUGCAAAUCUUUAAUACCUAAUAGCUAUUACUUUGCACGUGGUCAUCAUUUAUCUGAGGAAAAAAGCAAAAUAUUGCAAUUUAAUUGUAAUGGAUCGUGAUGGACUACUAUGUAUGAUUUUAUCAUGAUCGUGACAGACUACUAUGUAUGAUUUUAUCAUGAUCCAGAAAGACAUAAAUAGCUUUGUCAUUUGAAAUAACUUUCCUAAAAAAAUCAAGAAAUUGUAUUUCCAGUUUGUGUUCUAAUUUGACCAUCACUUCUGAUAUUGUUAAACGCCUUUCUUCCUACACAGCAAAUCACUUAAGAUUCUACAAAAUUGCAGUGUUGAGUGUCCUUGUAGAGUGGCAUCACACUUUCAACCUGAGAUUCCUUUAAUCCUAGUAACUGUCCAGUCACUCUAUUCAACAUGGAACAUAUCUCCAUCAUUUCUGGAUGAGAUGGAUCCCCGACAAGAAACUCGUGAACAAUGCCAUCAACUUCGAUCAAGCUACACCCAGGCAUCUUCUUCACUCCAAGUUCUUUCAUUUUCCUUCUCACUUUCUUUGCAUCUUCCCACCUAUCGACAGAAGCAUAUAUAUUCGCAAGAAGUGUGUGAAUGCUAGAAUCACAUGAUUCAAUGUUCUCCAGUUUUUUGGCCAGCCUUUCACCCAUGUCAACAUUAUUGUGGAUUCUACAAGCACUGAGCAAAGCACCAUACAGAGGAACCACAAUUUCGCAAUUUUCAAUCGGAAUCUCUUGUAUGAGUUCCUCUGCUUCAUCCAAUAACCCAGCUCUACCAAGAAGGUCAAUUACACACCCAUAAUGCUCUACCUUCGGCUCAAUUCGGUGAACCUUUUUCAUCGAGUUGAAAAACCUACGCCCUUCCUCAACCAGCCCACCAUGACUACAGGCACUUAAAACUCCAAUGAAGGUGAUAUCAUCAGGUUUAGCCCCCACACGUUCCAUUUCUGAGAACAGCCGGAGUGCUUCACUCGUCUUACCAUUCAUUGCAAGACCGCAUAUAAUUGAGGUCCAAGAUGCCGUGUCCUUGUCUUCUAACUCAUAGAAAAUUUCUAAUGAUUUAUCUACACAACCACAUUUGGAAUACAUUUCAAUGAGUGCAGUACCAACAACCACAUCCAUUGUUAUUCUGUUUUCAUCUAGGUAUCCAUGAAUCCAUUUCCCUUGUUCUAGAGCUCCCAACUGCGCGCAACCUGUGAGGAGAGUGACCACUGUGAACUUAUCAGGUUUUACCCUUUGAAUUUGCAUUUCGCGAAACAGAGCCACAGCAUCAUCAAAAUGGUGGAACUGCACAUACCCAUUUAUCAUAGCUGUCCACAAAACAACAUCUCUAACUGGACUUUUGUCAAACAAGUCUCUAGCCUCUCUUAAAUCACCACAGUUUAUAUAGCCAGAGAUCAUGCUAGUCCAACAAAUUACAUUUUUCAUAGACAUUUCAUCAAAUAUGUUGCGGGCAAUAUUUAGACAACCACAUUUUGCAUACAUAUCUAAUAAGGCAUUGUCGAUUCGAGUGGUAAAACCAAGCUCCUUUCUAACAUAGUUGUGAAUUUCAUCUCCAAGCUCCAGAUUUUUCAGUGCUGUACAAGCAGAAAGAGUGCUAACUACAGUAGCUUCAUCAGGUUUCUCAUUGCCCUCUUGCUGCAUUUCCCUAAAUGUAUUGAUAGCAUCCUCAAAUCUACGACACCUAACAUACCCAGAAAUCAUAACAUUCCAAGAAACCGAAUCUCUAGUCGUCAUUUCAUCAAAUAACUUCUUAGCAUUCUCAACAUUGCUUAAUUCAUAAUACAUAUCUAUAAGUGAAUUAUAGACAUAAUUAUCCAAAUCCAUUCCUGUCUUCACUAUAAAGCCACGAACCUUUUCACCUUGCCUCACGUCCCGUAAGCAACCAAUAGCUUUCAGAACAAAUGGGUAAGUAAAACCAUCAGGCCACAAUCCAUCUUCCCUCAACUGUUGAAAGAGCAAAAGGACUUUUCUGAGAAUACCCCUUUUGGCAUACAUUUUAACCAUCACAUUAUAAACAAACAGAGAUGGGUCUUGAACAUAAUUGAAUAUCUUCUCUGCAUAGCGCAAGUUGCCAAGAGAUGAGUCUGCACAGAAUGCCAUCAAUUUGUUUAUUGUGUCCCUGUCUCCUUCAAGACCAAUUCGAAAGAUCUGACUCUGAAUUUGUUUGAGUUGAUCCAUGGACUUGCAGUUCCGAAGACACUCGAUGCAUGAUUUCUUUGUUAGUUUGGAGAUUCGAAGCAGAACUGGAACUAAAUGGGGGCUUGAAGAAAAAUGACGGGAUAUAAACUGGACUCUUCGAAUGAUUGAUAAAGGAAGCAUGUGCGAGCUUUGUGAGUGUUUGAAGAAUUGGAAAAUCUAAUAAAACAAACAGAAAGAACACGUUAGUUCAUAGGAUAUUAUCUUAUGCAGGGAUGUGUGUGUAACAAGAAAGUGAUAAAGAUAUGCCACUAAUAAAAGCAUGCUUAAUUACCUCUGAAAAAGCAAAGGCACAAUCAAAAUGCUUCUGCUCGAAUGAGUGCACUACACCUCCAGGUUAAUGCAUCCUAUACUUUCCUGUAAGUUUAAUCACAAUAUGCAGGAAUGAUUUCAAUCUUCAUUGUCCACAAAAUCACUAGAAAGAAACAUUUAACUUUCCUUUCAAAUAAGGUGUUAUUUACUUAUUAUUAUUAUAGGAAAUGGAGUAACAUUUAACAAACAAUAUCCUGUCAUCAAAAUAAAGCUUACGAAUAAUCAAUCACAAAAUAAUUACGACAAACUCUACCAUAUGCCCAAGAAAAGGGUGAGGAGUAAGAAGGUGGUGCAGUCUAGAGGAAGCAAAUGCUUGGGGGAAUGGAAAAAGACCACAAUGAGUACUUCAGCCAAAAAGUCAUGGUGCAAAUGCAAUAGCAAGAAAGUCAAAAUAAAAUUAAUAACUGAUUUUAUUCAUUGAUAUUAUUUUUAGCUAUUAAAAAAAGGACCUAUAAAACGAUCUUUCAUGAUCAUAGAUUCAUUUCAAAGAAAGUCAAAAUAAAAUCAUUGAGUACCCAUACAUCCCAAUUCAUCUUUGUGUAUAACCCACUGAAUCAAGAAAUUUAAAAAGUAAACAGAAUACGCACUUUCCACUGGAUUAGAAAUCUAGGACCCUUUUCAAUUCUUUUUUUUUCUUUCCUUCAAUCCCUCUAGAAAUAAAACAUAAUUCAUCAACUUGUGUCAAAAAGAAAGUUGGCCUGAGUGCCAUCACUCAAAUAAAAGCAAGCAAUAUUUGAUAAUCAUAACGAGGAAACACAUAGGAAAUUGAAAAUGCUAAAUGUAUAUAUAGAAGAAUACACAGACCAAAAAGCAGAACUCAGAAGAUGGGAAUCAAAUUAAUUAGAAUUUGAUACGAUGAUUUAUUAUAAGUAAAAAUUCCAGAUCUACACGGAUCGGUUAAUCUAAAAAAGCUAUGAAAAAUUGCUACUCCCAAUCAAUGCUAUAAGCAUUAUUUAAGAUUUCCUCUCCUCAGUUCUGAGAGAAGAUAUCUAAUUUAAUUAUAUACCGCAUACAAUGUUAUGACACUGAAAAGUCAAUAAUAUGUCGGUUCUUAAAACGUAUCAUGAAAACCAAUGAGAAGGACAUACGCUGAAAAAUUAGCAGAACCAGUAGCAGCACGUAAAGCAUUGGUAUCCAGACAACAACUCCAAACUGCGCCUUUGUGACCUUCAAAUGUACCAAUCCAAUCACCAUUUUCACCAUUUCUAAGCAUGGGAUUGGAAUCUGAAUGGGAAUAACAUAUUUAUAAGGCAACCCAUAAAAGUAAACUCCGGAUUAAGCUUUGAGCAAACGACAUGGGAUUCAUUCAACAAAUCUCCCAUCAAAAAAGCUAAAAUAGCAAUACCCACAUCUAGGACAACUAUCAAUCAAAGUCAAAAGAACUGACACUGGACAAAAAAAAAAAGAUCCAAAAUCAUAAUUAAUAUCCAGAAAAUUUGGCGAUACAUAAAUUAAAGUCUUAAAUCAAAGCAAAAGUUUUAAAUCUUGAAUCAUACCCUUGCUGGCACUGACGAGGAAGAAUCCAUCGGGCGUAACAAGGCUAGAAAAUAGAUCGACAAUCGGUCGAGAAUGACCAUGGCAAACGAGAGGAAUAGCCACUCUCUUCUUAUCCAUGUCAGACAAAAAAAAAAUUAUACUAAACUAGAGUUGUAUAAAACCUAGAAAUAAACUGUAGAUUUGUUGUGUUUUUAUUGAUGAUUGGUUUUAAAGGUGUGAUUGAAGAAGAAAUAAGGAAAUGAAAACCCAAAAGCUGAAAAUCCAAAGAAAUCAACAACCCAACUGUAAGGAGAAAGACGGCGAUCAAUUGUUAAAAUGAAAAGGUAAGCGGUGUUGAAAUUGUGAUGGAAGGAAAAUUGGAGGGAGAAAUGGCGGUAUAUAACACAGGUGAUGGAGGCUAACAACAAAACUAACACUUUAACACCUCCUAACCCUCUGAAAUGGCUCUGACAAUAUCAUAAUUCUAAACCCCAAAAUUACAGAAAGAUCAACACUUC
rnacentral:lncRNA from 1 species